rnacentral:rRNA from 1 species
GGGUUGUGAGGUUAAGCGACUAAGCGUACACGGUGGAUGCCCUGGCAGUCAGAGGCGAUGAAGGACGUGCUAAUCUGCGAUAAGCGUCGGUAAGGUGAUAUGAACCGUUAUAACCGGCGAUUUCCGAAUGGGGAAACCCAGUGUGAUUCGUCACACUAUCAUUAACUGAAUCCAUAGGUUAAUGAGGCGAACCGGGGGAACUGAAACAUCUAAGUACCCCGAGGAAAAGAAAUCAACCGAGAUUCCCCCAGUAGCGGCGAGCGAACGGGGAGCAGCCCAGAGCCUGAAUCAGUGUGUGUGUUAGUGGAAGCGUCUGGAAAGGCGCGCGAUACAGGGUGACAGCCCCGUACACAAAAAUGCACAUGCUGUGAGCUCGAUGAGUAGGGCGGGACACGUGGUAUCCUGUCUGAAUAUGGGGGGACCAUCCUCCAAGGCUAAAUACUCCUGACUGACCGAUAGUGAACCAGUACCGUGAGGGAAAGGCGAAAAGAACCCCGGCGAGGGGAGUGAAAAAGAACCUGAAACCGUGUACGUACAAGCAGUGGGAGCCUCUUUAUGGGGUGACUGCGUACCUUUUGUAUAAUGGGUCAGCGACUUAUAUUCUGUAGCAAGGUUAACCGAAUAGGGGAGCCGAAGGGAAACCGAGUCUUAACUGGGCGUUAAGUUGCAGGGUAUAGACCCGAAACCCGGUGAUCUAGCCAUGGGCAGGUUGAAGGUUGGGUAACACUAACUGGAGGACCGAACCGACUAAUGUUGAAAAAUUAGCGGAUGACUUGUGGCUGGGGGUGAAAGGCCAAUCAAACCGGGAGAUAGCUGGUUCUCCCCGAAAGCUAUUUAGGUAGCGCCUCGUGAACUCAUCUCCGGGGGUAGAGCACUGUUUCGGCAAGGGGGUCAUCCCGACUUACCAACCCGAUGCAAACUGCGAAUACCGGAGAAUGUUAUCACGGGAGACACACGGCGGGUGCUAACGUCCGUCGUGAAGAGGGAAACAACCCAGACCGCCAGCUAAGGUCCCAAAGUCAUGGUUAAGUGGGAAACGAUGUGGGAAGGCCCAGACAGCCAGGAUGUUGGCUUAGAAGCAGCCAUCAUUUAAAGAAAGCGUAAUAGCUCACUGGUCGAGUCGGCCUGCGCGGAAGAUGUAACGGGGCUAAACCAUGCACCGAAGCUGCGGCAGCGACGCUUAUGCGUUGUUGGGUAGGGGAGCGUUCUGUAAGCCUGCGAAGGUGUACUGUGAGGUAUGCUGGAGGUAUCAGAAGUGCGAAUGCUGACAUAAGUAACGAUAAAGCGGGUGAAAAGCCCGCUCGCCGGAAGACCAAGGGUUCCUGUCCAACGUUAAUCGGGGCAGGGUGAGUCGACCCCUAAGGCGAGGCCGAAAGGCGUAGUCGAUGGGAAACAGGUUAAUAUUCCUGUACUUGGUGUUACUGCGAAGGGGGGACGGAGAAGGCUAUGUUGGCCGGGCGACGGUUGUCCCGGUUUAAGCGUGUAGGCUGGUUUUCCAGGCAAAUCCGGAAAAUCAAGGCUGAGGCGUGAUGACGAGGCACUACGGUGCUGAAGCAACAAAUGCCCUGCUUCCAGGAAAAGCCUCUAAGCAUCAGGUAACAUCAAAUCGUACCCCAAACCGACACAGGUGGUCAGGUAGAGAAUACCAAGGCGCUUGAGAGAACUCGGGUGAAGGAACUAGGCAAAAUGGUGCCGUAACUUCGGGAGAAGGCACGCUGAUAUGUAGGUGAAGUCCCUUGCGGAUGGAGCUGAAAUCAGUCGAAGAUACCAGCUGGCUGCAACUGUUUAUUAAAAACACAGCACUGUGCAAACACGAAAGUGGACGUAUACGGUGUGACGCCUGCCCGGUGCCGGAAGGUUAAUUGAUGGGGUUAGCGGUAACGCGAAGCUCUUGAUCGAAGCCCCGGUAAACGGCGGCCGUAACUAUAACGGUCCUAAGGUAGCGAAAUUCCUUGUCGGGUAAGUUCCGACCUGCACGAAUGGCGUAAUGAUGGCCAGGCUGUCUCCACCCGAGACUCAGUGAAAUUGAACUCGCUGUGAAGAUGCAGUGUACCCGCGGCAAGACGGAAAGACCCCGUGAACCUUUACUAUAGCUUGACACUGAACAUUGAGCCUUGAUGUGUAGGAUAGGUGGGAGGCUUUGAAGUGUGGACGCCAGUCUGCAUGGAGCCGACCUUGAAAUACCACCCUUUAAUGUUUGAUGUUCUAACGUUGGCCCCUGAUCGGGGUUGCGGACAGUGUCUGGUGGGUAGUUUGACUGGGGCGGUCUCCUCCUAAAGAGUAACGGAGGAGCACGAAGGUUGGCUAAUCCUGGUCGGACAUCAGGAGGUUAGUGCAAUGGCAUAAGCCAGCUUGACUGCGAGCGUGACGGCGCGAGCAGGUGCGAAAGCAGGUCAUAGUGAUCCGGUGGUUCUGAAUGGAAGGGCCAUCGCUCAACGGAUAAAAGGUACUCCGGGGAUAACAGGCUGAUACCGCCCAAGAGUUCAUAUCGACGGCGGUGUUUGGCACCUCGAUGUCGGCUCAUCACAUCCUGGGGCUGAAGUAGGUCCCAAGGGUAUGGCUGUUCGCCAUUUAAAGUGGUACGCGAGCUGGGUUUAGAACGUCGUGAGACAGUUCGGUCCCUAUCUGCCGUGGGCGCUGGAGAACUGAGGGGGGCUGCUCCUAGUACGAGAGGACCGGAGUGGACGCAUCACUGGUGUUCGGGUUGUCAUGCCAAUGGCACUGCCCGGUAGCUAAAUGCGGAAGAGAUAAGUGCUGAAAGCAUCUAAGCACGAAACUUGCCCCGAGAUGAGUUCUCCCUGACUCCUUGAGAGUCCUGAAGGAACGUUGAAGACGACGACGUUGAUAGGCCGGGUGUGUAAGCGCAGCGAUGCGUUGAGCUAACCGGUACUAAUGAACCGUGAGGCUUAACCUUACAACGCCGAAG